CCUACGGGAGGCAGCAGUAAGGAAUAUUGGUCAAUGGACGCAAGUCUGAACCAGCCAUGCCGCGUGCAGGAUGAAGGCCCUCUGGGUUGUAAACUGCUUUUAUAGGGGACGAAAAAGGGACUUUCUAGUUCAACUGACGGUACCCUAGGAAUAAGCACCGGCUAACUCCGUGCCAGCAGCCGCGGUAAUACGGAGGGUGCAAGCGUUAUCCGGAUUUACUGGGUUUAAAGGGUGCGUAGGUGGGUCGGUAAGUCAGCGGUGAAAUCUUCGAGCUUAACUCGGAAACUGCCAUUGAUACUAUCGAUCUUGAAUCAUCUGGAGGUAAGCGGAAUAUGUCAUGUAGCGGUGAAAUGCUUAGAUAUGACAUAGAACACCAAUUGCGAAGGCAGCUUACUACGGAUGUAUUGACACUGAGGCACGAAAGCGUGGGGAUCAAACAGGAUUAGAUACCCUGGUAGUCCACGCCCUAAACGAUGGAUACUCGACAUACGUGAUAUACUAUGUGUGUCUGAGCGAAAGCAUUAAGUAUCCCACCUGGGAAGUACGAUCGCAAGAUUGAAACUCAAAGGAAUUGACGG
rnacentral:rRNA from 1 species